CUAAAGUGACUUAGCACAUGCAUAUCUCUUGGAAACAGAUAUACCUGGGUUUUGCUUAAAAACCUAAUCUGAAAUUCUGUCUUUGAAUUGGGAAAUUUAUCUGUCGCCAUUUACCAGGAAAAUGGAAACAUUUGGUCUCACUCUGAUAUCCCUGAGAACAUUUUCUGACUCUGGUCUAGAACACGCGUCAGCAUGAAUCAGCGCUUCUGUUAGUACACCUCCACGACCACAAAGCCCACCAGUCUGGAACAGAAGUCAGCCUCCAGCGCCCCGGCAGACACUGGUGAGCGCUCCCGCUAACCACAGCAUGGCGCGAGGCCUGAACGCCGGCCCCAGGAGCCAGAAAUGCCGCAGGGCCUGCCAGGGCCCACGCUGGCUCCUCGCUGCCUCUGAAUGAACUGCUCGAAGACCAAGGAUGAGCUGAGAGAUGAGAAGCCCGGAGAACUGGGCUGCAGGGGGCGUUGGGAAGCCCCGGACACAUC